rnacentral:lncRNA from 1 species
AGCAUCUCAUGCUUACUUUCAUGCAAUUAAUUAAUUUAAUCAAAAAAUAAAAUUCAUUUUAAAAAAGCUAGAUUCAACAAUGGUAGAAACAAAAAUCUGAGUUAACCCAUGUCGCUUUCAAAACCACCGAAAAAUCCCAUAGAAAACGAAUAAAGAAAUAAUAAAAUAUUGGUGGAUGAAAUUAAAAAAAAAACUUAAAAAAAAAAAGAAAAAACCAAG